AACAUCAGGCCCUUCAAGGCUGCCGUGCUUCCAAAGCGUGGGGUUUUAACCUGAGCAUCCAGAGAAAGGCACCAACACACCAGCAGGACUGAAGGGAAAGUUCAGCCAGCUGAACAGAUAAUAGAAAAGUACUGUGAGCUAGGGAAUAAUCAGAACCGAGGAGAGGAGAGAAAAAAAAUCCUCAGAAACAUCCAGGCAUGUUCACAAACAAGAGUCAUCCAAGAUAUCAGAGAAACCAGGAAGCAAGUAAAUCAGGACAAAACUAGAUCUUCUUACCCCAUCCCAGGAAACACAAGGAACCUGCUGUGCACUUCCAUCUGGCAGCAGUGCAGACCAGCACAGGAGCUGUGUACACAAGAUUCCAUCAGCAGGCUCAGUAACCCAGUCUCCAGCUAUUGCUGUGGGAAAGAUGAAGUCACAAACUCACCAAUGGGUUUUAUUUUAAUUUAUUUUUUUCUGUUUAAAAGUUAAAAUACUAGCUUCUGUACAACUUGCGGCUGUACUCCUCUGACACCUUUGCUAAUAAAUAUCUUGAAAUGGACAAUGACUAAAAAGAAAAGCCCAGCAGUUGCCUCCCA